GGAAUCACAGGAGCAGGCAGCGCUGAGGAGGAUCCUAACACUUGUGGGAUGAAUAACCUGUCAGUAGGAAGAUGACCAAAACUCCUAUUUUGCAAUAACUGGAAGAUGUAUCAUCAGCCAGCCCUGUCUUCAGCUGAACACCCAAUUCAGGAGGAUUUAACCCAGAAUGCCACAGGAAAAGGCACUGCAGAGAUGGAAAGUCAUUUUUACAGCGCUGAGAUGAGGCCAAGGGAAACAGAUUUGGAUCAGAACAUGGAAAGCUCUGAGCUUGGAUCUCUCAUAAUGGUAAUUAAUGAAUGAGACUGCAAACAUUUGUUUUUCGGGCCAAACUAUAUUACCUUGAUAUGAAAUGCCUGAAAUUGUUUCAAAGCACAACAUUUAAGUUGUAAAUCUGUCAGUGCACCCCGAAAAACGUUUGAAUUUAAUCUCAUGAGUUGUGCUGGGCACUGGGCUC